AUACGGAGGGUGCGAGCGUUAAUCGGAAUUACUGGGCGUAAAGCGUGCGCAGGCGGUGAUUUAAGUCAGAUGUGAAAGCCCCGGGCUUAACCUGGGAACGGCAUUUGAAACUGAAUGACUGGAGUUGAGUAGAGGGAAGUGGAAUUUCCGGUGUAGCGGUGAAAUGCGUAGAGAUCGGAAGGAACACCAGUGGCGAAGGCGACUUCCUGGACUCAAACUGACGCUGAGGCACGAAAGCGUGGGUAGCAAACAGGAUUAGAUACCCUAGUAGUCC
rnacentral:rRNA from 1 species